UACGUAGGGUGCAAGCGUUGUCCGGAAUUAUUGGGCGUAAAGAGCUCGUAGGCGGUUUGUCGCGUCUGCUGUGAAAACUCGGGGCUUAACCCCGGGCCUGCAGUGGGUACGGGCAGACUAGAGUACUGCAGGGGAGACUGGAAUUCCUGGUGUAGCGGUGAAAUGCGCAGAUAUCAGGAGGAACACCGGUGGCGAAGGCGGGUCUCUGGGCGAGUAACUGACGCUGGAGGAGCGAAAGCGUGGGGAGCGAACAGG
rnacentral:rRNA from 1 species